GACGAACGCUGGCGGCGUGCUUAACACAUGCAAGUCGAACGGAAAGGCCCUGCUUUUGUGGGGUGCUCGAGUGGCGAACGGGUGAGUAACACGUGAGUAACCUGCCCUUGACUUUGGGAUAACUUCAGGAAACUGGGGCUAAUACCGGAUAGGAGCUCCUGCUGCAUGGUGGGGGUUGGAAAGUUUCGGCGGUUGGGGAUGGACUCGCGGCUUAUCAGCUUGUUGGUGGGGUAGUGGCUUACCAAGGCUUUGACGGGUAGCCGGCCUGAGAGGGUGACCGGCCACAUUGGGAUUGAGAUACGGCCCAGUAUCAUACGGGAGGAAGCAGUGGGGAAUAUAGCACAAUGGGCGGAAGCCUGAUGCAGCAACGCCGCGUGCGGGAUGACGUGCUUCGGGUUGUAAACCGCUUUCGCCUGUGACGAAGCGUGAGUGACGGUAAUGGGUAAAGAAGCAACGGCUAACUACGUG
rnacentral:rRNA from 1 species